rnacentral:rRNA from 1 species
UACGGGGGGGGCAAGCGUUGUUCGGAAUUACUGGGCGUAAAGGGCUCGUAGGCGGCCAACUAAGUCAGACGUGAAAUCCCUCGGCUUAACCGGGGAACUGCAUCUGAUACUGGAUGGCUUGAGAUGGAUGGAGGAGUGCGGAAUUCCAGGUGUAGCGGUGAAAUGCGUAGAUAUCUGGAGGAACACCGGUGGCGAAGGCGGCAUCCUGGACCAACAACUGACGCUGAGGAGCGAAAGCCAUGGGAGGCAAAGCGGG